rnacentral:rRNA from 1 species
AUUGAACGCUGGCGGCAUGCCUUACACAUGCAAGUCGAACGGCAGCACGGGAGCAAUCCUGGUGGCGAGUGGCGAACGGGUGAGUAAUAUAUCGGAACGUGCCCAGUCGUGGGGAUAACGUAGCGAAAGCUACGCUAAUACCGCAUACGAUCUAUGGAUGAAAGCGGGGGAUCGCAAGACCUCGCGCGAUUGGAGCGGCCGAUAUCAGAUUAGGUAGUUGGUGAGGUAAAGGCUCACCAAGCCGACGAUCUGUAGCUGGUCUGAGAGGACGACCAGCCACACUGGGACUGAGACACGGCCCAGACUCCUACGGGAGGCAGCAGUGGGGGAAUUUUGGACAAUGGGCGCAAGCCUGAUCCAGCAAUGCCGCGUGCAGGAUGAAGGCCUCGGUUGUAAC